rnacentral:lncRNA from 1 species
CCUAUUUCUGGUGCCUGACACUUCUGUGUUUCCAGACAGGGUGUCCCAAGUCCAGUGCCACAUGGCCUGGGAUUUCUGGGGUUCUGUGGGGAGUGGAAAUUUUUCCUGGGUGGCCCUCAUUGCUUCUGUCAUCUUCCUCCAUAAACUGUUGCACCUCUACCAUUCUGCCUUGGAGCCAGCUGAUUAUGGACUGAAACCUCUACAAACUGUGAGCUAAAAAAAUCUUUUCCCCUUUAAAAAAAAAAAGAAAAGAAAAGAAAAAGAAAUUUUUCCUGGACAAAGAAACCACAGGCUCACAGCAAAUGUGACUGACUUCACAUCACAAGGUUGGGUUCCUGUCUCUCUGGUGGCUUCUCAUUUUCCUCCUGAAAUGUCAGCUCCACAAGACCGGGGAUUGUGUUUGUCUUCUUCACCUCUCAAUCCCAAGAAAUACAGUGCUCAUGGCCCGUGUAUUAAAGGCUUGGUCCUUAUCUUGGUGCUAAUGGAAGGUGAUGGAAGCAUUUAAGAGGGCUUCCUCUUCCACCACCCUCAUCUUGAUGCACUCCCUCACUACAGGAUCAGUGGGGACCACCAACUAUGGACUGAAACUUCCAGAACCGAGCCAAGCAAACCUUUCCUCUUUUUAAGAUGAUUAUCUCAGGACCUUGCCUUGUGAGGCAGGCGGCGGAACCACUGAGCUGAAUCCCCAGGCCAAGAUGAAUUCUUAACACAUAAUUGGGGCUCUAUCAUGAUCGCUCACCAUGAGGAAUAUAUUCACACUUUCCACGUAUUCAAUUUAGAUGUAAAGUAAUAAUACUGGCUUCUGGAACUACAGAAGAGAAACUUAUUAUAUUAU